rnacentral:rRNA from 1 species
AACUUAAAGGAAGUUGACGGGGGCCCGCACAAGCGGAGGAACAUGUGGUUUAAUUCGAUGAUACGCGAGGAACCUUACCUGGGCUAGAACGCAUUCGGAAUCAGGCCGAAAGGCCUGCGCCAGCGAUGGCCGCUUGCGAGGUGCUGCAUGGUUGUCGUCAGCUCGUGCCGUGAGGUGUCGGGUUAAGUCCCAUAACGAGCGCAACCCCUACUGCUAGUUGCCAGCGGGUCAUGCCGGGGACUCUAGCGGAACUGCCAGCGUAAGCUGCGAGGAAGGUGGGGAUGACGUCAAAUCAGCACGGCCCUUACGUCCAGGGCUACACACGUGUUACAAUGGCCGGUACAGAGGGCAGCCACCCCGCGAGGGGGCGCGAAUCCCGAAAGCCGGUCCCAGUUCGGAUCGGAGUCUGCAACCCGACUCCGUGAAGCUGGAUUCGCUAGUAAUCGCGCAUCAGCCACGGCGCGGUGAAUACGUUCCCGGGCCUU